UACGUAGGGUGCAAGCGUUAAUCGGAAUUACUGGGCGUAAAGCGUGCGCAGGCGGUGAUGUAAGACCGAUGUGAAAUCCCCGGGCUCAACCUGGGAAUGGCGUUGGUGACUGCAAGGCUAGAGUUUGGCAGAGGGGGGUAGAAUUCCACGUGUAGCAGUGAAAUGCGUAGAUAUGUGGAGGAACACCGAUGGCGAAGGCAGCCCCCUGGGUCAAAACUGACGCUCAUGCACGAAAGCGUGGGGAGCAAACAGG
rnacentral:rRNA from 1 species